CCUACGGGGGGCAGCAGUGGGGGAUAUUGCACAAUGGGGGGAACCCUGAUGCAGCGACGCCGCGUGGGUGAAGGAGCGUUUCGGCGCGUAAAGCCCUAUCGGCAGGGAAGAAGGAGGACGGUACCUGACUAAGAAGCCCCGGCUAACUACGUGCCAGCAGCCGCGGUAAUACGUAGGGGGCAAGCGUUAUCCGGAUUUACUGGGUGUAAAGGGAGCGUAGACGGUUAUGCAAGUCUGAAGUGAAAGCCCAAGGCUCAACCAUGGGACUGCUUUGGAAACUGUAAAACUGGAGUGCAGGAGAGGUAAGCGGAAUUCCUAGUGUAGCGGUGAAAUGCGUAGAUAUUAGGAGGAACACCAGUGGCGAAGGCGGCUUACUGGACUGUAACUGACGUUGAGGCUCGAAGGCGUGGGGAGCAAACAGGAUUAGAUACCCUGGUAGUC
rnacentral:rRNA from 1 species